CCUCUGUGCUUUGAAUACAUGAGGGUGCUCACAGCUGAACUGAUCGCCAUGGUUACAGGCAAUCUGUGUGUUACAUCUCCUGGAAGCAAAAAAGAGGGUAGUUUAAGGAUGAAGUACAAACUUAACACGGACACUCCACACUGUAGUCUCGACCUGACUUUCAGUUCAUCUCUCUCCUUCUUCCUGGGCAGUCAACUUCUGCAAACCUAAACUGAACAAUGCCAUUCCUGAAGCUUGCUGUGCUUUUUCAUGUGCAGACGCUGUUCCCUUUGUCUGGAAGCCGCUUCCCAUGGCUGCUUAGCACAAGGCAUGUGCUGGUGAUUCUCUGUUGUCUCAGCGAACACUUACUUUAUUCAUCUGUCCAUUUACUCAACCUCCACACAUCCUUGAAGACCCAGUUGUACAGUUCGGGUCCCUGGCGGGAGUUGAGACAGAAACUUUGGGCUCCUCUGGCCCUCCUGAAACUUCUAAGUGAAGCCACAGAAAAUUCCAAAAGGUAUUCAGGUUUGCAACUGUGUAAGAAACUCUAG
rnacentral:lncRNA from 1 species